AUGAACACAUCCAGAACUCGAGAACAAAAAUGACUCAAACAAAGAAUCUUAACUGUUCAGUUUGAUAGCUGAUGUAACUAACACAGGUUUAAAUUUGUGCAAGUUGAUUUUUGAACACUUACUUGCUAAAGAAUCCUUAAGAGAUCAGAUAUUAGCUGCUCACUGCAAUACUUCAUUGAUUAACAGCAACUUUGCUAAUCAGCUGCUGAUUGUCUCUCUUUGGUAAUAAAUCAAAUAUAUCUUACGAUGUGAAGAGUUCAGCAGGACUUUUUGGACAUUUUUCACUUUACACCUAAAAGACUAACAUAUUAAAUAAGAAGUAGUUGUCACGUUAGUCAAUAAUGAAACGUUCUGCAGCCCUGAACAUGUGGAACAUUGUGGAAAACCGGAGUGAUGCCACGUCUCAGCGGUUCGUCAGAAUCGUGUGUGAAAGCAGAGUAAACACGUUCCUUUCAUACGUCUCUGCAGAGCAACACAUCGGGUUUGUGUUCAGAGCGACGGAACAACUGGACCUCGUGUGGCGGCGGCGGCUGGACACGGGACGGACGGAGCGAGGGGGGGAGCGAGUCGUGACCUCUGAUUGGCCGAAGCGACACAGAGACGGCUUUGGUUUGGGAGCACCCUGUCCUCCGUAUGGUGUCAGAAUCACUUCCUGUGCCUCCCUCACAUGUGUUCUCAUGAUGAAGCUUUAGUUUGGACACCAGACGGAUCUUCCUCCUCGUACAGUAAAAUGCGUGACCCCCCGCUGCUGAGCAGUCAUGUAGUGAACUAACCACAUCUACUGCAGGACUCCUGAUGACACGUCAGAAGGUCGCGUGGUGUGAACAGCACUGUCACGGCCUGAUUCAGGGUUUAGCAGACAGGAGACGUGGGGUGUCGACGACGCGUCAACAGCUUCCUCCCGCCUCCAUUUGUCCACACUGUUAGGAAUCUGUGUGUGUGUGUGUGUGUGUGUGUGUGUGUGUGCUCAGUGUGAUCACAUUAGUGAAAGUAGUAAGUGUUAAUUGGACAGUUAAUAUCAGAGGUGUGUGUAGUAAUUACCAUAAUGUGCGUCAGAUAACAGAGUCACAG